UGAGUUUACGCUCUACAACCCUUUGUGAACAUACCUAUAACUGUUGCUUCGGCGGGUAGGGUCUCCGUGACCCUCCCGGCCUCCCGCCCCCGGGCGGGUCGGCGCCCGCCGGAGGAUAACCAAACUCUGAUUUAACGACGUUUCUUCUGAGUGGUACAAGCAAAUAAUCAAAACUUUUAACAACGGAUCUCUUGGUUCUGGCAUCGAUGAAGAACGCAGCGAAAUGCGAUAAGUAAUGUGAAUUGCAGAAUUCAGUGAAUCAUCGAAUCUUUGAACGCACAUUGCGCCCGCCAGCAUUCUGGCGGGCAUGCCUGUUCGAGCGUCAUUUCAACCCUCAAGCUCUGCUUGGUGUUGGGGCCCUACAGCUGAUGUAGGCCCUCAAAGGUAGUGGCGGACCCUCCCGGAGCCUCCUUUGCGUAGUAACUUUACGUCUCGCACUGGGAUCCGGAGGGACUCUUGCCGUAAAACCCCCAAUUUUCCAAAGGUUGACCUCGGAUCAGGUAGGAAUACCCGCUGAACUUAAGCAUAUCAAUAAGCGGAGGAAAAGAAACCAACAGGGAUUGCCUCAGUAACGGCGAGUGAAGCGGCAACAGCUCAAAUUUGAAAUCUGGCCCUAGGCCCGAGUUGUAAUUUGCAGAGGAUGCUUUUGGUGCGGUGCCUUCCAAGUUCCCUAGAACGGGACGCCAGAGAGGGUGAGAGCCCCGUACAGUUGGACACCAAGCCUUUGUAAAGCUCCUUCGACGAGUCGAGUAGUUUGGGAAUGCUGCUCAAAAUGGGAGGUAUAUUUCUUCUAAAGCUAAAUACCGGCCAGAGACCGAUAGCGCACAAGUAGAGUGAUCGAAAGAUGAAAAGCACUUUGAAAAGAGGGUUAAACAGCACGUGAAAUUGUUAAAAGGGAAGCGCUUGUGACCAGACUUGCGUCCGGUGAAUCACCCAGCUCUCGCGGCUGGGGCACUUCGCCGGCUCAGGCCAGCAUCAGCUCGCUGUCGGGGACAAAAGCUUCAGGAACGUAGCUCUCUUCGGGGAGUGUUAUAGCCUGUUGCAUAAUACCCUUCGGCGGGCUGA
rnacentral:ncRNA from 2 species